CCGGUUUCUUUUUAAUCUUGUCAUAGGUCAUAAACCAGUUUCUUUUUGUACUUUUUUGUAAUCUGUACAUGUACUUGUCCGCAUCAGACCUGUAAAAAACCAAACCCCCCAAAAGUAUGUUAUUGUUUUGAAGAAUUUCAUGUCAAUAUCAAAACUUAACUUUAAAGCAAACCAUGGCUAUUAAUGUCUAGACCGAUCUACAAAAUAUAUUCUGAGAUCUAUGAAAAUCAAGCUUUAAAAGUAACACCAACUUUAAAGGGACACUAUAGUCACCAGAACUACUACAGCUUAAUGUAGAAGUUCUGGUGAGCAUAAUCAUUACCUGCAGGCAUUUUCAUGUAAACACUGCCUUUUCCCGUCUCCUUGCCGAUUUGGUGACCUCAUCAAAACUUAUGAUAAAAAUUGUAAAUUCUGAAGUCACCAAGGAGAUGGAUC